GAUCAAAGCAGCUCUAUGCCGGUCAGGCCAUUCUUCUCCGAGAUCAUGCCGUUCAAGUCCGGUCUUUCGCUGCUCCAUCCGCAGAUCCUCCACUCAAAGGAGAUCAGAUGUUGAAGAACAUCUUUUACGAUGUUAAGAACAAAUUUGAGACUGCCCUUGGGAUACUUAGGCAGGAAAAGAUCACAAUUGAUCCUGAAGACCCUGCUGCAGUGACUCAGUAUGCCAAGGUUAUGAAGACUAUAAGAGAAAAGGCUGGUUUACCCUCAGAAUCUCAACGAAUUAAAAGCACCAUCGACCAACGAACUCAAGGCAUCCCUGAUGCCCGGACAUACUUAUUGACUCUACAGGAGAUACGCGUAAAGAGUGGCCUCACCGAUGACCUUGGAGCUGAGACGAUGAUGAUGGAAGCAUUGGAAAAGGUUGAGAAAGAAAUUAAGAAGCCACUUCUAAGGUCUGACAAGAAGAACAUGGGUCUUCUUUUAACUGAGUUUGAGAAAAUCAACAAGAAGCUGGGUAUCCGUAAAGAUGAUCUUCCAAAAUAUGAACAAGAACUGGAACUUAAACUUGCCAAGGCGCAGUUGCAAGAACUAAAGACGGAUGCUCUUGAGGCUAUGGAGACCCAGAUGAAAAGGGAGGAAUUCAAGGACGAGCAGGCUGUUGAUGUGAAGUCAUUGGACAUCCG
rnacentral:misc_RNA from 1 species